rnacentral:rRNA from 1 species
UGGGGAAUAUUGGACAAUGGGCGAAAGCCUGAUCCAGCCAUGCCGCGUGUGUGAAGAAGGUCUUCGGAUUGUAAAGCACUUUAAGUUGGGAGGAAGGGCAGUAAGCGAAUACCUUGCUGUUUUGACGUUACCGACAGAAUAAGCACCGGCUAACUCUGUGCCAGCAGCCGCGGUAAUACAGAGGGUGCAAGCGUUAAUCGGAAUUACUGGGCGUAAAGCGCGCGUAGGUGGUUCGUUAAGUUGAAUGUGAAAGCCCCGGGCUCAACCUGGGAAGUGCAUCCAAAACUGGCGAGCUAGAGUAGGGCAGAGGGUGGUGGAAUGUCCUGUGUAGCGGUGAAGUGCGUAGAUAUAGGAAGGAACACCAGUGGCGAAGGCGACCACCUGGGCUCAUACUAACACUGAGGUGCGAAAGCGUGGGGAGCAAACAGG